GUUGUAUUUCAGGUGGUAAGCUUUAAUGUGACAUUUGAUUUCAAUUUCUCAAGAUGUGUAAUUUCGGUGUGCAUACACACAUUUUAUUUAUGUUUAUGUUUUCUAAUUUUUUUUUAAAUUUUCUUUUAUAUUUUUCUACAAACUAACAACUAAAUAUCUAUAAAUUUUCGAACAGCUUUAAGAGUUUGUUUUCACCCAGCAGAGGGCGUUCUUCUCAUUUCUGUAGUCCUCAUGAACACAAUGAGCUCAAGACUCAUCAUGGAAGGUCAAAUCUUGCCACAGGGUGGCGCUCCAGACUUAAAUCACAGUGUUUCAGUGAGGAAAAGACACAUCUGAGUUUGUCAUUUCAUUCCAUCAUGCUGCUCUGUGCACUUGGAAUAUUUGCAGUACUUGCAGGAGACUCUGUUGGUGAUGUAAUAACAUCUCGUGAUUCUGAAAAAGAAGCUCAAGAUGGUAACAGUGUUUCUCUCUCCUGCAACUACAGUGGUUCUGUUUUCAAUCUACUGUGGUAUCGUCAGUAUCAGAGAUCCAAACCAGAACUCCUUCUCUCCAUCACUGAAUCUGGAGAUGCAGUUAAAGCAGAUCCAUCAGCCCACUGGUUUUCUGCUACAGUUGACAAACUCAAAAAGCUCUUGGAACUGAAAAUCAGUCCUGCUAAAGUAUCAGACUCUGCUGUGUAUUACUGUGCUCUGGUGCCCACAGUGACAGGAAACCCUUCUACACUGUACAAAAACCUGAGAUGCUGAAAAAUACAUUAAUAACAUCUUGAGAAAACUUUCUAAACUUUUAAACAAUAUCAGAAUGAUGACAUCUGAUAUUGAACAAAGCGUUUAUCUCUUUGUCUCGUCACACGUAUACAAGCCCAGUAUUUAUCAGAGAGUAAAGACUCAGAGGGUGGAGCUCUUUCACUAAGAGGGUGAUCCAAAGUUUCUCUGCGUUUACUGACUUUGUCAUCACUCUUUCUCCAAAGA